GGGAUUACCAAGGGUGGAGCGAUCUAAUAGAAGCCUGCUUAGAGCUGGGUCCACAUUUCAGAUGCCUUGAGCCCCCUGAGACUCAUCCCUCUUACAAUCGGCUGUCAAGCCUUUGAGACUUGUCCACUCUCCAAGAAGGGAUGAUUCCUCAGCUACAGUUUCUUCUCACAAGAAAUCUAUAUGGUAGUGCUGGCACAAAAUGAUCUAGGGUGUGUGCAUCAAGUAUGAUGCAGCACAGUGAGAAAGUAACAGAUCUUGACAUUCCCAUACACUCGUGAUCAGGUUUGUUGGCUUUCUGUUUUGUCCUUUUUGAUCUGUGACUUCAUCAGUUUGCAGAGUGCAUAUGCCAGAUACAUGUAGGGGAAAACUCAUAACCAACUGAACUUGUUCCAGAUGGGUUCUCAUGCAAUUGCAAGACCUCCCAGAGAAAUACCUAACUCGAAGAGAUUGUCUUUGACUCAUCCUUGCUAAAGAUAAUGGUAGAGGCAUGUUCCUGACUUAGCCAGGAUCUCAGGAUCAGCACUGCAGAUCCCAACAUUGGGAAAGCAUGGAAUCAAUGCAUUUGUGCCAUGGUAAUAGGCACUGUGGCAUUGCUGUGGCCCAGGCAGAGUUAGGUCCUCUGCUAUUUUUUGGCCCUGAGCUCCUCAGUAGGUUCUCAUGACACUGAUAGAAAGAACCUGCUGAGGUAAAGCUCAGUUGUCUCCUUUCUGACUUUUUCCCCCAAUCAGUGUCCCAGCUGAAGGUGAAGGAUGCUGCACCUGAUGUUAAGCAGCUGUUUUUUACUAAUCUUAGCUCUCAUUGGUAUUUGACACUGCUGCUUUUAAGGCUUAUGGGAGAAACAGAGUGCCCCAGCAUCACCUUGCUUGCAAUCAUUUUGUGUGAGCAUUUGUUAUGCAUCUGCUGCUCUUUCAUGAGGUCACAGGUAGGGAAUUUUGAAACCAUUCUUACGGUGCUGUCACCAGGUUCCCGUUUGGAUCCGAGUCUUGAAGAUCUCCAUCUGAUGAGCCUAACUGUUGACAGAGUUAAUGCAGUCCCUGGGUAUCUUCUCUGCCCUGAAGCUAUGAGAGCAGGAAACCCACCAGCUUCUUAAUCCAAAUCCAGGGUGACAGAGCAGGGACCUGAGGGGAGAGAUGGCUCUGGGAUUCAGCAUCACCACAAAGAAAAUGCAUUUCUGACAGCAGCCGGGCACACUCUAACAGGGUUUGCCAGCAAAAAAAAACAACCUUUCUUGUAGGACUCAGUGGCUUUCUGUGCUGUUGACCUACUCAUUAGUGGUGUUGGUAAUUAUAGGGGAGCCCCCAAGCAAACUGUAGGGGAGGCCCGACUGGAGCUAUAUUGAGCAAGUUUUCCCUCUUAAAUUGUCCCCAGUGAGGUAUGGUUAAAGCCAAGAGAGAACUGCAAUAAGCAGUUUGGUCGCUAGAGCAUAAGGUGUCCUUGUGGCUGCAUGUUUAUGUCCUUCUGUGCUAUGGAUUGGCAAGGCUCUUCAAAGGCGUAGGGCAGAACCCUGCAAGUGUAAAUUGUGCUGCCAGUAUAUGCUGUGUAUGGUGGAAAGAAAGAGCAGAUGAUCUGUCUGCUCAUCUGAAGGCACAUCUGCAUAUCACUUGAAGGGCACAAAAAUAGGCCUGUUCAAGCUACUGGAUAUUGUAGCAUUUACUCCCUGGUCAUCUCUGACUUUUCUCCUGUCAGCAGUGCACUGUUGAGUUUUCUGAUUCCCACAGAGGAAUGCGGAGUCUGUUCUGGAGGAGGAUGCUCUCAGGCAUGCAGUUUGAUUUUUGGAUGGUGCUGUGUGGAACCAGGAGCUGGAUUCAAUGAUCCUUAUGGGUCCCUU
ensembl:lncRNA